CCGGUCGGUUUUUAUACUACACUACGACGAUUGCGACGACGGGCCGAAAGUUUUCGGCAAGGCACCAAAAUAAAAAAAAAAUAAUAAUGAUAAUACUUGACUGUAAUCUCCGCCAUUCCGAAACUUUCUUAUCUCGGCUCUUAUCGGUUUUAAAUUCCUCACUCUUUCUCUCUCUUCUAUGUGUAUAUAUAAAUAUACUUUAGCGAGUGCCAUUUAUAUUCCCCGGAAAUGGUUAUUAUUCGGUAACGCCGGUCCUGUCGCCCCAAAGGGAAAUUAUUUUUCAUUAUGCGUCGUUUUCGAAAAAUAAAUUACUUUCGACCCUCUUUUUGCGUCGUCAACACGUUUUAUUUUAAACACCCCUCCUACUAUACCACUCCAUCGCCCACUCGCCUCCGAGGUGUAAUAUUAUCACGUGAGAAUAUUAUUAACAGCGCGAUAUCGACAAUCCGUGAGUGGACUUCAUAUACAGAUAUUCCGUCCGGUAUUCGAAUUAAUUGUGGAGG